GAUGAACGCUAGCUACAGGCUUAACACAUGCAAGUCGAGGGGAAACGAUAGAGAAAGCUUGCUUUUUCUAGGCGUCGACCGGCGCACGGGUGAGUAACGCGUAUCCAACCUGCCCACCACUUGGGGAUAACCUUGCGAAAGUAAGACUAAUACCCAAUGAUAUCUCUAGAAGACAUCUGAAAGGGAUUAAAGAUUUAUCGGUGAUGGAUGGGGAUGCGUCUGAUUAGCUUGUUGGCGGGGUAACGGCCCACCAAGGCUACGAUCAGUAGGGGUUCUGAGAGGAAGGUCCCCCACAUUGGAACUGAGACACGGGCCAAACUCCUACGGGAGGCAGCAGUGAGGAAUAUUGGUCAAUGGACGAGAGUCUGAACCAGCCAAGUAGCGUGCAGGAUGACGGCCCUAUGGGUUGUAAACUGCUUUUAUAAGGGAAUAAAGUGAGUCUCGUGAGACUUUUUGCAUGUACCUUAUGAAUAAGGACCGGCUAAUUCCGUGCCAGCCGCCGCGGUAA
rnacentral:rRNA from 1 species